rnacentral:rRNA from 1 species
GAUGAACGCUAGCGGCAGGCUUAAUACAUGCAAGUCGUGGGGCAGCAUGAAUGUAGCAAUACAUUUGAUGGCGACCGGCAAACGGGUGCGGAACACGUACACAACCUUCCUAUAAGUGGGGAAUAGCCCAGAGAAAUUUGGAUUAAUACCCCGUAACAUAACGAUGUGGCAUCACAUUGUUAUUAUAGCUUCGGCGCUUAUUGAUGGGAGUGCGGCUGAUUAGAUAGUUGGCGGGGUAACGGCCCACCAAGUCUACGAUCAGUAGCUGAUGUGAGAGCAUGAUCAGCCACACGGGAACUGUGACACGGGCCCGACUCCUACGGGAGGCAGCAGUAAGGAAUAUUGGUCAAUGGACGCAAGUCUGAACCAGCCAUGCCGCGUGAAGGAUUAAGGUCCUCUGGAUUGUAAACUUCUUUUAUCUGGGACGAAAAAAGGCGAUUCUUCGUCACUUGACGGUACCAGAUGAAUAAGCACCGGCUAACUCCGUGCCAGCCGCCGCAGUAAAAC